rnacentral:snoRNA from 1 species
GUGAUGAGUGCGUUGGUGAACGAGAGGUGAGUGGCGACGGACGGGCUGA